CAAAGACAUGUGGCUCUGGGGAGGGGGCUCUGUGAGGCACAGGCAGAGGAGAACCAUCUGGAGCAGAAAGACUGCCAAGGAGCUGCUGUCCCUGGAGUGGGAGCCAGGGAACAUGGGGGAGAGGAGCAUGGGCCUGAGCUGGGCCCCUCACCCUCUUCUGUCUCCCAGGACUGAGUGGUAAAGGGGCUUUGAUCCACCAAAGGCCCUUGAGUCACAUACUUGGAACUCAUCCCUGGGUCAGGCAUUAAGCCUCAAGUUGACACCUGAGAAGUGAGGAGAAAGAACCAAGUCUGGCAUCUGAAGUACACUAGGAAUCCAGAGUCUCCCCUGCCUAUCUUUCUCUGUUGGCUUUACACUGCCACUCCUAGGCCCUGCCGCAAGGGGCACUGUCCUCACUCUAUGGCAGGCCUGGGUAGAGUAGUCACCUGGCUGGUAAGGGGAGAGGAGGCUGGCCUAGGGUUGGUGAACUUCACUAAGGUUCCUGAGCCUUUCUGUUUCCCAAGGUUCCCUGGGCAGGCCGCAUUCCUCAGGGGGGUGGGGCCCCUGGUUUCCCACACUUUGUCACCGCCCCCCCCCCACUGGGGGCUGUGAUGUGUGGGGUCGCCAUGACAACGAAGUGGGGGCAGGGCACCUAGGGCAUGGAGCAGGACUAUGGAAGUCACCAAGGAGGUGGGGGGCCCUGAUACAUCCGGCCCCCAAGACCACUCCUUGGCCAGCAGCCAGCAGCCGGGGGGUGGCCUCAGAGGGUCCCAGGGACCAUGGAUAAACUCGGGAUCUGCAUACUUCAGGCAGGGGUUGUCAUUGUCCACCGAGGCCAUCAUUGAUGGGACCUGUGGCCCUGCCUCCCAGGCCCAUGCCCCUGAGCCCAUUCACCAGCUACACCGGGACCCUGCUGAGGUUAGCUCCCAGUAUGGCUGUGAGCAGGCCUCCCAAGAUACUCUGAGGCUCCCUUCUACUAGUCCGUUUCCAAGCUCCAUCGUGGGAACCCAAACGCAUCUCAUCGUGGAGAACAGGACCCUGGCCCUACCCGUGUGCACACGCAGUGACAGCACCAGUGACAUGGCCCAGGAUGGAUUCUGCCGCUCCCGGCUUCAGGUGCAGGUUGCAGGGCAGGGCAAGGCUCCAGCUAAAGUCCUGGUAGGCUGGGGCAAAGGCCCUUGCAGUCCUGACCAGAGAGCCCCCGUGGGCAGCAGAAAGAGCCGGUGGCUACCCUAUUUCCUGUCAGGGGAGGAUGGCUCAGUUGUAGCCCAAGAUCCUCCUCUGGCUCCAACUCAAGGUCAGGGCCAGGGCAAGUGCCCGUGUCCAGCCCAGGCUCCUCCAACUCCAUCUCAGGCAAAUACUUCAGCUGUGGAUACAGCCCUAAUGCCAGCAGUAUCUGAACCUUACACCUCCAACCCUGACCACUCGACAGAUACCCUUGCCAUCACCAAUGGCCUGUCCCAAGACCUCCUGCUCAGGGAGUGUGGCAAUCGAUGGCCAGUUGUCUUGGAGUCUUCCAAAGUGGUCACACCCUGCCAGGACAAAGUGGAUUUUCAUUUUCGGGAGGAGACUUCUGCCCCAGCGCCCACUCCAGAGGAGUCCUCAGACCAUGUCCAGGAGCUUGAGGUUGCCAGAAUGCAGGUGUUACCCAACCAGCCCGAGAACCCAGCAGAGAAGCCCCUGGUCUACACCUCCAGGCCAGGCAGCCCAACACCAGGCUCAGGACUCCCAGGGCCCCCCAAGUCCCAGAGGAGUAGCCAUGAGAUCUGCAGCUCUCAGCCAGACCAGCAGCCUCUCAAUGUUUGCAACAAUACCUGCUCCAAUGUGCCAGCGUCUGCCUACCAAGUAUCCUGCCACGAGCAGUCCCCAGUCCAGUCUCCCAGGGAAGCCAUACAGAUUCCCCCUUCCAGUGCCCCUACCUGCCAGCUCCCAGAUGCUGUGGAAGACCGUGUGCUGGUGUUUGAUAUAGCCACAGGCAACACCAGGAUGGGGCUACUGUGCCAUGACCCCAUGGGUUCACGGGCAGUGCUCGUGGGCCUCAUGCCCAGCCACCCAUCCAUCUAUGUCCCUGAAAAUGUGUUGUCCACUCGACCAUUACCCGUGCCAAUCCUUUCCCCUGACAACAAUCGUUCCAGAUUCUGGUCCACUUCACCCGUACUGUCCAGCCCUGUGCCCUCUAGCCUCUCGUCGGGAAGCUAUCGAGAGGUGGCCCUGGUUCCCAAGGAGGGGAGUAUCAACUUGGAGUCAUGGGACUCCCCUGGUACUGAGACACCCAUCAGACUGUUCACUGGGCCCAUUCCACUGGGGACGCCCCUCCAAUUUGGUGAGAGGAUAUUGAGCCAUGUUCAUGAGCCUGGCUGGUCUAAACCUGAUGCUGAAAAAAAUGAAGCUAGUCACACCAUCUGGAUGCUGAAUACAGCCAGGAUGCAGGACACUUCCAUGGUCCAGCCCAAGAAACUGCAGUGGAUGAACUCAGAGCUGAUCCCAGAGCCUACGCCACAAGCGAAACCCCAGGUGAUGUCCAGAUCCCUACUCCAGGUGGAUACAGGCAACCACAACCAGAAAGCGGUCCUUACUGCUCACCCUGACAACCUUAGGGCAGAAGGUGCUGGGCAGGCCUCCCUCAGUGGUCAGCCGCCACUAGCUGAGCAGUGUCCCCUGGCUGGACAGCCCCCUCCAACUGCUCAGCCUCCCUCUGCCGACCAGUGCCCCCUCACCAGGCAGACCCCCCUUUCUGGUCAGCCACUCCUGGCUGAGCAAGCCCCUUCUACCAAGCAGCUCCCCCUUCCUGGUCAGCCCCCUCUCACUGGAACCCCUCUUGCCAGGCAGCUUUCUCUCACCGGGAAGCAUCCCUUUUCUCAAGAACCCCCCAUUUCCAAAGAGCCCAUCAUCUCAGGAGGGACCCCCAUCCCCAGGGAACCUGGCCAGGCCUCCACCUUGCAUCAGGAAGGAGAGCCCUUGGGCUUGCCGGCCCACGUAGGGCUACUUCAGGUGCCCCUGGCCCCUAAGGAGACCCGUGUCUACGUGAGUAGAGAAAAGGUCGGUGUCGGUGCCACUCAAAGCUCCAGCACACAUCAGCUCUCAUCCUGGCCACCUGGCAGCUCCCCUGGGACCCAAGAGGAACAGUUUUCCCUGGUCACAUUAUCUACACCUGGCACUGGCUGCAAGGUCUUGCCUGUGGCUAUGGUGGGCAGUGACCCCCCGGGUCCCCAGUUCAAGCUGAUGGCUGAGGACAUUACGCUCUCACCAGUGGUUGCACACCUUGGCCUGCUCCGUGGGGCCUGCUACGAACUGGUGCCCACCACGGAUGCUCUGCCAGUGCAGUCCCCGGUGCUCUGCCGCCACUCACUGGGUCCCUACCAGGACAUGGUGGCUGUGGUGAUUGACACAGGCACGGGCUUCACCAAAUGUGGACUGGCUGGAGAGGACCACGUCCUCAGUGUGGUGUCCUCACGUGUCCAACUGCUACAGCACCCAGCCCAGGACGAGCCUCGGUAUGUGGUGCCCGAGGACCAAGAGGGCUCCUGUUCGGUGCUGAAUCGAGGAGUGGUCUCGGACUGGGAUGCAUUGGAGGUGCUGUGGCAGCACUUGUUUUAUUGCAGGCUGGGCGUGCGGCCGGAGGAGCUGGCUGUCCUCGUGGCUGACUCACCCAUUUCACCGCGCACCAACCGAGAAAAGGUGGCUGAAAUACUCUUUGAGCGCUUCCACGUGCCAGCCAUGCAGACGGCGCAUCAGGCCCUCCUGGCACUCUAUGCUUACGGGCGCACCACUGGGCUGGUGCUGGGCAGUGGCCAUGGUACCUCCUAUGUGGCGCCUAUUCUUACGGGGGAUCUGGCCCCCCUCGACACCUACCGGCUGGACGUGGCUGGUGCUGACCUCACUGAAUACCUGGCUCAGCUAUUGCUGGCAGGUGGCCACUCACCACCCAAGGCAGGGUUGGUCAACCAGAUUAAAGAGGCCUGCUGCUAUGUGGCCACGGACAUGACAGCUGAGAUGGCCCGUGCCCAGGCUCAGGCCCGAGUGGACUUCAUGCUUCCAGACAAGCAGGUCAUCACACUGGGCUCUGAGCGUUUCUGCUGCCCUGAGGCCCUCUUCCAGCCCGAUCUGCUAGGCCUCAACCAGCCUGGCCUCCCACAACUAGCCCUCCUUAGCAUUGGCCGGCUGGAUGCCAAGCAGCAGGAGCAGCUGCUGGCCAAUGUGGUGCUGGAAGGUGGCACCACCCUGGUGAAUGGCUUUCCUGAGCGCCUAAGUCAGGAGCUGGGCCCCCGAGCCACUGUGCUGGGCUCUCCCCACCGUGCUGUUGCUGCUUGGCUUGGAGGCUCCAUCAUGGCAUCCCGGGACUCCUUCCAGAGUCUGUGGCUCAGCCGCCGUGAGUACGAGGAGGAAGGCCCUUGGGCCAUCUACAAGUACCAUCUCUCAGAGACUGGCAAUGCCGUUUGGGUGUGUGACUCUGGGCGAUAAGAAGAACUAUAACCAGCCGUCGGAGGUGACUGACAGAUAUGAUUUGGGACAGGUCAUCAAGACUGAGGAGUUCUGUGAGAUCUUCCGGGCCAAGGACAAGACGACGGGCAAGCUGCACACCUGCAAGAAGUUCCAGAAGCGGGACGGCCGCAAGGUGCGGAAGGCGGCCAAGAACGAAAUAGGCAUCCUCAAGAU